rnacentral:lncRNA from 1 species
CAGUAAUUUCUUUUUGCAAAAUCAAAGAAGGGCCACUAUCAAAUCAAUACAGCAAAAUAUUCAAGAACCAAGAUGGAUGUAAGCCUGCCAUGAACCUGACUCUCCCCCAGAAUUUGACUGUUCUUCACUAGAACAAGAAAGGAGAUAUCUAGAAAUACAGAAUUGUCAGGUAAGUCCACUAUGCAUACCUUCAGAAG